rnacentral:sRNA from 1 species
CAAAUUAUUUUGUGUUGACUAUUGAAGGACCCAAAGAAAUAAUGAUUCAAAGAUAAUUUUAUAAAAGCCAAAGUAACUUGUAGCUAAUAUAUAAAAUACUUUUGACCAGGAACUUUUAAAGUGGAUGCUAUGAAGAUAGAGAGUGUUUUUACACAUUGUUUAUUGAUUUUAAUUUCACUUUUUCUCUCCUUAGGGUGUGAUUAGGCCCACUGGGGGAUACGCUGUCAUGCUACACUGGUCAAUGUCUUCCAUAUACGGACUUCAACCUGGAGAGGUAAUCGUGGUUUUAAAUUUACAUUACAUGACAUUUUCUGAAUAAAAUAUAUUCAUUUUAUUAUCUUAUUUUUUAGGUGUGGUGGGCAGCUUCUGACUUAGGCUGGGUUGUUGGACAUUCCUAUAUCUGCUAUGGACCUCUUCUCCAUGGGAACACAACAGUUUUAUAUGAGGGGAAGCCUGUGGGAACACCAGAUGCUGGCGCUUAUUUCCGUGUGCUUGCAGAGCAUGGAGUAGCUGCCUUGUUUACAGCACCAACUGCAAUUAGAGCAAUCCGUCAACAGGACCCUGGGGCAGCUUUGGGGAAGCAGUACUCUCUGACAAGGUUCAAAACAUUAUUUGUGGCUGGAGAACGAUGUGAUGUAGAGACCCUGGAAUGGUCCAAAAAUGUCUUCAGAGUACCUGUCUUAGACCAUUGGUGGCAAACUGAGACUGGAUCUCCAAUUACCGCGUCAUGUGUUGGAUUAGGCAAUUCUAAAACACCUCCACCAGGGCAAGCAGGAAAAAGCGUCCCAGGAUACAAUGUUAUGAUUUUGGAUGACAACAUGCAAAAACUGAAGGCUCGGUGUUUAGGAAAUAUUGUGGUAAAGUUACCAUUGCCACCUGGGGCUUUUUCAGGACUCUGGAAGAAUCAGGAAGCAUUCAAGCAUUUAUACUUUGAAAAAUUUCCUGGAUAUUAUGAUACCAUGGAUGCUGGUUACAUGGAUGAAGAAGGCUAUGUGUAUGUUAUGUCUCGAGUGGAUGAUGUAAUAAAUGUUGCAGGUCACAGAAUUUCUGCAGGUGCCAUUGAAGAGUCAAUCCUUUCCCAUGGUACCGUGGCAGACUGUGCUGUUGUUGGCAAGGAAGAUCCCUUAAAAGGUCAUGUCCCCUUAGCACUCUGUGUAUUGAGAAAAGAUAUAAAUGCAACAGAGGAGCAAGUUUUGGAAGAAAUCGUGAAACACGUUAGACAGAACAUUGGCCCUGUGGCUGCUUUUCGAAAUGCAGUGUUUGUCAAACAGCUACCCAAAACCAGAUCUGGCAAGAUCCCCCGAUCAGCUUUAUCUGCCAUUGUCAAUGGCAAGCCAUACAAGAUAACUUCUACAAUUGAAGACCCCAGCAUUUUUGGCCACGUAGAAGAAAUGCUGAAGCAGGCAUAAUGAGUUUGUCUUAUUCCUAUUUUGAGUUGAUUUAAUUUCUUAAUUGAAAUUAAAUUAUUUGAGUUGUUUCUCAGAAAUAAAUAUUUCAGUAGAAAUUACUUGCAAAAUGAAAUGUGAAUUGUAAAACUUGGCCUAAACAAAUCUAAUGAAAACAUGUGAAAGACCUAUGCCUUUUGUUUGGUUUGACCCUGUUAGCAUUGUUAUUAGUUAUCUAUAACAUGCCUUAUUGAAUGUCAUCUACUGCUUUAGAAAAAACGUAUCUAGUGUAUUAUUUUUAAAAUUGUACCUCCCAAGAAGAACACUUUAAUUGAAAGCAACACUAAUAUAGAGCCACUUCCUGAAACCAAGAAUCUGUAGUUUUGAUCCAAAAUCUAAAACUUAAAGUCAGAAAAAUAAUUAAAAUUUUUCUUGUAGAAAUUUUAGAUAUUUUCUAGUAUUCUUUAGAUGCUCACAUUGUUUUAAAUAAAAUAGAUGAAAUGGGAAGUUUAGGUAAUCAUCUAGACAGAUGAAAUUAUUAUCUAGGUAGGAGGGCUUUUCUAUACAUUUUCUGAGGGAAAGCAGAACACCGGGGUUAUAGCUAUACCUUCAGGUCUUUUGUUACUUAGGCAAGGAAAACCACAUGUCUGACCUGGUUCAGCAUGUAAUCCCAGCACUUUGGGAGGCUGAGGCAGGAGGAUCACUUGAGGUCAGCAGUUUGAGACCAGCCUGGCCAACAUGGUGAAACCCUGUAGCUACUGAAAAUACAAAAAUAAGCCAGACGUGGUGGCGGGAGGCUGAGGCAAGGAGAAUCACUUGAAUACAAGAGGCAGAGGUUGCAGUGAGCCAAGUUCCCCCACUGUACUCCAGCCUGGGUGACAGAGUAAGACUCCAUCUCAAAACAAC